rnacentral:rRNA from 1 species
UAGGGAAUCUUCCGCAAUGGGCGAAAGCUUGACGGAGCAACGCCGCGUGAGUGAUGAAGGUCUUCGGAUCGUAAAACUCUGUUAUUAGGGAAGAACAAAUGUGUAAGUAACUAUGCACGUCUUGACGGUACCUAAUCAGAAAGCCACGGCUAACUACGUGCCAGCAGCCGCGGUAAUACGUAGGUGGCAAGCGUUAUCCGGAAUUAUUGGGCGUAAAGCGCGCGUAGGCGGUUUUUUAAGUCUGAUGUGAAAGCCCACGGCUCAACCGAGGAGGGUCAUUGGAAACUGGAAAACUGGAGUGCAGAAGAGGAAAGUGGAAUUCCAUGUGUAGCGGUGAAAUGCGCAGAGAUAUGGAGGAACACCAGUGGCGAAGGCGACUUUCUGGUCUGUAACUGACGCUGAUGUGCGAAAGCGUGGGGAUCAAACAGG